UUUUAGAUUGCUAUGUAUUUUUUUAAAUGUUAAAUAUGAUUUCUGGUAAUUGUCUUAAGAACUGGAAUGUUAAGUUUAUUAAAAUGGUGUUGUUUGAAGAAGGGGAAACUGCACUGUUUGCCAUUUCAAAAGUCAUACAAGUGCAUGUCAAGUCACCCACUGUCAAGCAUCAGUAUCCUCAUAGCUUUACACACUUUGAUGGGGAAUAUUGCAGCAUCCUCAGGACUGACAUCUGGAAAAGGCUCAAAUCACUUACUGCUCCUUGCUUGUUGACUUUGUUUUACAAUAUUGUGCCUGGUGUCAACUUUUAAGCAACAGCACUGCCUAAAAGCAAGCAGAGAACAGAAUCCCAGCACCAUUCUAUAGGCAACUUUUUAGAAUUCAGAUACAGUAAAUCUGUUCAAGAUUUAUGAUGUUUUAUGUAAAAAAUUUUGUACAACAUAGCUGAAUAUUUUUGUUUUGAUUUAUUUGAUGUAAGGCGUGUGAACAUUCAUUUGAAUAUCACAUGUUAAAGUCAGGUAUGGCACAAUGGGUUCUGAGACCAGCUUCCCUACCCCCUCCCAUUUGCCUCGUUCUAAUCGCUUUCUUUUCAAAUUACAUUUCGGGUGUUCAUAGGCAGAUAUUUAAUUUUACUAAUAAGCAUCCUUUGUGAAUGUACUUUAAAAGCCACUAUGUUUUAAUGUUAAAGUUUGUGAAAUUAUGACACUUAUCCCCCUACCCCUUUUUUCUUUUUGUCUUAAAGUCACAAAUCACUGAGAAGGAAGAAAGUUAAAAUCUAUCCAAGACUCAUAUCACUUGAAUCUGUGGCAGAUUAUGUUAAAAUUGAGGGUGUGGCAAUUAAAGCUAGAACAUGGACAAUAUUGUGCUGUUUAAAAAUUCUGUCUUCUGAGUAUGUCUUGUGAAUAGGUGAAAUUUUAAGUCUGUAUUGUACUCCCAAGAAUUCGUAAAAAUCACAAACACCACCUGUAUACUGAGUAACAAAUCACAAAGGGAAGGGAGAACAAAGGGACAAUAGGUUGAGUGUGCUCCUUCAAGGGGCCAGGAGCGUAGAAUGCCAUUUCUAACACAGGCUAAAUCUAGUGUUAAAAUUUCAUGUCGGCCUAACACUGAUUUAAAAUUUCAUCUUUCAUAUUCUUGAGUUUUUGAAAUAUUUUAAUAGUUUUGAAAAGUAUACUACUAACUGGUUUGUAGCUUCAGUCACAGAAAACAAAUUGUAUUUCAGUAAGGGUCCUGUAGCAAGCAAGAACUCUUUGUCACAUGUUCAAAGUAACAAACCUUUUUACUGAAAUGUGAGCUGUCAUGUUUGUAAGGUUGUUUUCUUCUCUCCCCCAUAAAACCCAAAGUAACACCUUU
rnacentral:lncRNA from 1 species